AGUGAACGCUGGCGGUAGGCCUAACACAUGCAAGUCGAACGGCAGCACAGUAAGAGCUUGCUCUUACGGGUGGCGAGUGGCGGACGGGUGAGGAAUACAUCGGAAUCUACUUUUUCGUGGGGGAUAACGUAGGGAAACUUACGCUAAUACCGCAUACGACCUACGGGUGAAAGCAGGGGAUCUUCGGACCUUGCGCGAUUGAAUGAGCCGAUGUCGGAUUAGCUAGUUGGCGGGGUAAAGGCCCACCAAGGCGACGAUCCGUAGCUGGUCUGAGAGGAUGAUCAGCCACACUGGAACUGAGACACGGUCCAGACUCCGACGGGAGGCAGCAGUGGGGAAUAUUGGACGAUGGGCGCAAGCCUGAUCCAGCCAUACCGCGUGGGUGAAGAAGGCCUUCGGGUUGUAAAGCCCUUUUGUUGGGAAAGAAAAGCAGCAGGUUAAUACCCCGCUGUUCUGACGGUACCCAAAGAAUAAGCACCGGCUAACUUCGUG
rnacentral:rRNA from 1 species